rnacentral:rRNA from 1 species
GAUGGCGACCGGCGCACGGGUGAGUAACACGUAUCCAACCUGCCGUCUACUCUUGGACAGCCUUCUGAAAGGAAGAUUAAUACAAGAUGGCAUCAUGAGUCCGCAUGUUCACAUGAUUAAAGGUAUUCCGGUAGACGAUGGGGAUGCGUUCCAUUAGAUAGUAGGCGGGGUAACGGCCCACCUAGUCUUCGAUGGAUAGGGGUUCUGAGAGGAAGGUCCCCCACAUUGGAACUGAGACACGGUCCAAACUCCUACGGGAGGCAGCAGUGAGGAAUAUUGGUCAAUGGGCGCAGGCCUGAACCAGCCAAGUAGCGUGAAGGAUGACUGCCCUAUGGGUUGUAAACUUCUUUUAUAAAGGAAUAAAGUCGGGUAUGGAUACCCGUUUGCAUGUACUUUAUGAAUAAGGAUCGGCUAACUCCGUGCCAGCAGCCGCGGUAAUACGGAGGAUCCGAGCGUUAUCCGGAUUUAUUGGGUUUAAAGGGAGUGUAGAUGGAUGUUUAAGUCAGUUGUGAAAGUUUGCGGCUCAACCGUAAAAUUGCAGUUGAUACUGGAUAUCUUGAGUGCAGUUGAGGCAGGCGGAAUUCGUGGUGUAGCGGUGAAAUGCUUAGAUAUCACGAAGACUCCGAUUGCGAAGGCAGCCUGCUAAGCUGC